ACCGGCGCACGGGUGCGUAACGCGUAUGCAACCUACCUUUUACAGGGGAAUAGCCCAGAGAAAUUUGGAUUAAUGCCCCAUGGUAUAUAUGGAUCGCAUGGUUUAUAUAUUAAAGUUCCAACGGUAAAAGAUGGGCAUGCGUCCUAUUAGCUAGAUGGUAAGGUAACGGCUUACCAUGGUUACGAUAGGUAGGGGUCCUGAGAGGGAGAUCCCCCACACUGGUACUGAGACACGGACCAG
rnacentral:rRNA from 1 species